UCUGUUUGUGUUACUAUAAUCUCUCUGUGUUACUCUUCUUUUAUGUUACUAAUCUCAAACCGGUACGUUCAUCUUCAUCCUUGGGGCGAAGAUCGAUCGUUUUUCAUUGUCUUUUUUUUUUUUUAAUUAUCAGUUGUUUUGGAUUUCCGUGUGGGCUUAGAUCUGAUUGGAUUUUUUGGUUGUGUGUUUAGAUUAUCAAUGAUCGGGAGACUGGUAGAUCUCGUGGUUUUGGAUUUGUGACUUUCAACAAUGAGAAAUCGAUGAGGGAUGCUAUUGAAGGAAUGAACGGU
rnacentral:misc_RNA from 1 species